CCUGCAGUCGAGCGGCAGCACGGGGAGCUUGCUCCCUGGUGGCGAGCGGCGGACGGGUGAGUAAUGCAUAGGAAUCUGCCCGGUAGUGGGGGAUAACGUGGGGAAACCCACGCUAAUACCGCAUACGUCCUACGGGAGAAAGCAGGGGAUCUUCGGACCUUGCGCUAUCGGAUGAGCCUAUGUCGGAUUAGCUAGUUGGUAAGGUAACGGCUUACCAAGGCGACGAUCCGUAGCUGGUCUGAGAGGAUGAUCAGCCACACUGGGACUGAGACACGGCCCAGACUCCUACGGGAGGCAGCAGUGGGGAAUAUUGGACAAUGGGCGAAAGCCUGAUCCAGCCAUGCCGCGUGUGUGAAGAAGGCUUUCGGGUUGUAAAGCACUUUCAGCGAGGAAGAAAGCCUCUGGGUUAAUACUUCAGAGGAAGGACAUCACUCGCAGAAGAAGCACCGGCUAACUCCGUGCCAGCAGCCGCGGUAAUACGGAGGGUGCGAGCGUUAAUCGGAAUUACUGGGCGUAAAGCGCGCGUAGGUGGCUUGGCACGCCGGUUGUGAAAGCCCCGGGCUCAACCUGGGAACGGCAUCCGGAACGGCCAGGCUAGAGUGCAGGAGAGGAAGGUAGAAUUCCCGGUGUAGCGGUGAAAUGCGUAGAGAUCGGGAGGAAUACCAGUGGCGAAGGCGGCCUUCUGGCCUGACACUGACACUGAGGUGCGAAAGCGUGGGUAGCAAACAGGAUUAGAUACCCUGGUAGUCCACGCCGUAAACGAUGUCGACUAGCCGUUGGGACCUUUAAGGACUUAGUGGCGCAGUUAACGCGAUAAGUCGACCGCCUGGGGAGUACGGCCGCAAGGUUAAAACUCAAAUGAAUUGACGGGGGCCCGCACAAGCGGUGGAGCAUGUGGUUUAAUUCGAUGCAACGCGAAGAACCUUACCUACCCUUGACAUCCAGAGAAAUUGGCAAAAAUGCCUUCCUGCCUUCGGAAAUCUGAGA
rnacentral:rRNA from 1 species